rnacentral:siRNA from 1 species
AACUCGUGUAUCUGUAGCUGAUGG